rnacentral:lncRNA from 1 species
ACCGUGUGAGCCUCUGAAUAAUCCCACCUUCGAGCUAGGCCCUUGUUAAGGGGGUGUGAAUGAUGAGGGCAUCCUCCACUAUUACCCGCUGGCAAAAGUCGGGCGGCGACCGUUUGUUAAGGGGGUGGGAAUGAUGAGGGCAUCCUCCACUAUUACCCACUGGCCUGGCAAAGACGCAAAAGUUAGGCGGCGACCGUGUGAGCCUCUGAAUAAUCCCACCUUCGAGCUAGGCCCUUGUUAAGGGGGUGCGAAUGAUGAGGGCAUCCUCCACUAUUACCCGCUGGCAAAAGUCGGGCGGCGACCGUGUGAGUCUCUGAAUAAUCCCACCUUCUUAAAAUGGAGAUUGGGCCUUUCCACCUUCGAGCUAGGCCCUUGUUAAGGGGGUGGGAAUGAUGAGGGCAUCCUCCACUAUUACCCGCUGGCAAAAGUCAGGCGGCGACUGUGUGAGCCUCUGAAUAAUCCCACCUUCUUAAAAUGGAGAUUGGGCCUUUCCACUAGCCACCUU